rnacentral:tRNA from 1 species
AGCCCCAUGGUCUAGCGGUCAAAGAUAGUGGCCUUUGGAGCCAUUGACCCAGGUUCGAAUCCUGGUGGGGCUA